rnacentral:rRNA from 1 species
AGUUUGAUCCUGGCUCAGAAUAAACGCUGGCGGCGCGCCUAACACAUGCAAGUCGAACGAGAAAUUCUCCGCUUGCGGGGAAGAGUAAAGUGGCGCACGGGUGAGUAACGCGUGGGUAACCUGUCCUUGAAUUUGGGAUAACCCAUCGAAAGGUGGCCUAAUACCGAAUAAAGCCCUAAGAACCAAGGUUCUUGGGAUGAAAGCUGACCUCUUCAUGAAAGUUGGCGUUUGAGGAGGGGCUCGCGUACCAUUAGCUUGUUGGUAGGGUAAAGGCCUACCAAGGCUACGAUGGUUAGCUGGUCUGAGAAGAUGAUCAGCCACACUGGAACUGAAACACGGUCCAGACUCCUACGGGAGGCAGCAGUGAGGAAUCUUGCGCAAUGGGGGAAACCCUGACGCAGCGACGCCGUGUGAGUGAAGAAGGCCUUCGGGUCGUAAAGCUCUGUCAAGUGGGAAUAAAAGCCCUUGGCAAAUAACCAAGGGCUUUGAAGGUACCACUAAAGGAAGCACCGGCUAACUCCGUGCCAGCAGCCGCGGUAAUACGGAGGGUGCAAGCGUUAUUCGGAUUUAUUGGGCGUAAAGAGCGUGUAGGUGGUUGUGAUAGUCAGAUGUGAAAUCCUUCUGCUCAACAGAAGAAGUACAUCUGAAACUUCACAACUUGAGUACGAGAGAGGAAAGUGGAAUUCCCAGUGUAGAGGUGAAAUUCGUAGAUAUUGGGAGGAACACCUGUGGCGAAGGCGACUUUCUGGAUCGAUACUGACGCUGAGACGCGAAAGCGUAGGGAGCAAACAGGAUUAGAUACCCUGGUAGUCCACGCUGUAAACGAUGGGAACUAGGUGUAGCGGGUAUUGAUCCCUGCUGUGCCGAAGCUAACGCAUUAAGUCCCCGCCGGGAGACUACACG